UACCCGCUGAACUUAAGCAUAUCAAUAAGCGGAGGAAAAGAAACUAACAAGGAUUCCCCUAGUAACUGCGAGUGAAGCGGGAAAAGCUCAAAUUUAAAAUCUGGCGGUCUUUGGCCGUCCGAGUUGUAGUCUGGAGAAGUGCUUUCCGUGCUGGACCGUGUAUAAGUCUCUUGGAACAGAGCGUCAUAGAGGGUGAGAAUCCCGUCUUUGACACGGACUACCAGUGCUUUGUGAUGCGCUCUCAAAGAGUCGAGUUGUUUGGGAAUGCAGCUCAAAAUGGGUGGUGAAUUCCAUCUAAAGCUAAAUAUUGGCGAGAGACCGAUAGCGAACAAGUACCGUGAGGGAAAGAUGAAAAGCACUUUGGAAAGAGAGUUAAACAGUACGUGAAAUUGCUGAAAGGGAAACGCUUGAAGUCAGUCGCGUUGUCCGGAACUCAGCCUUGCUUUCGCUUGGUGCACUUUCCGGAUGACGGGUCAGCAUCGAUUUUGACCGUCGGAAAAGGGCUGGAGUAAUGUGGCACCUCCGGGUGUGUUAUAGACUCUGGUCGCAUACGGCGGUUGGGAUCGAGGAACGCAGCGCGCCGCAAGGCAGGGGUUCGCCCACUUUCGCGCUUAGGAUGCUGGCAUAAUGGCUUUAAACGACCCGUCUUGAAACACGGACCAAGGAGUCUAACAUACCUGCGAGUGUUUGGGUGGAAAACCCGAGCGCGUAAUGAAAGUGAAAGUUGAGAUCCCUGUCGUGGGGAGCAUCGACGCCCGGACCUGACGUUCUCUGACGGAUCCGCGGUAGAGCAUGUAUGUUGGGACCCGAAAGAUGGUGAACUAUGCCUGAAUAGGGUGAAGCCAGAGGAAACUCUGGUGGAGGCUCGUAGCGAUUCUGACGUGCAAAUCGAUCGUCAAAUUUGGGUAUAGGGGCGAAAGACUAAU
rnacentral:rRNA from 1 species